CAUGCAAGUCGAGGGGAAACGAUAUUGGAAGCUUGCUUCCGAUAGGCGUCGACCGGCGCACGGGUGAGUAACGCGUAUCCAACCUGCCCACCACUUGGGGAUAACCUUGCGAAAGUAAGACUAAUACCCAAUGAUAUCUCUAGAAGACAUCUGAAAGAGAUUAAAGAUUUAUCGGUGAUGGAUGGGGAUGCGUCUGAUUAGCUUGUUGGCGGGGUAACGGCCCACCAAGGCGACGAUCAGUAGGGGUUCUGAGAGGAAGGUCCCCCACAUUGGAACUGAGACACGGUCCAAACUCCUACGGGAGGCAGCAGUGAGGAAUAUUGGUCAAUGGGCGAGAGCCUGAACCAGCCAAGUAGCGUGCAGGAUGACGGCCCUAUGGGUUGUAAACUGCUUUUAUAAGGGAAUAAAGUGAGCCUCGUGAGGCUUUUUGCAUGUACCUUAUGAAUAAGGACCGGCUAAUUCCGUGCCAGCAGCCGCGGUAAUACGGAAGGUCCGGGCGUUAUCCGGAUUUAUUGGGUUUAAAGGGAGCGUAGGCCGGAGAUUAAGCGUGUUGUGAAAUGUAGAUGCUCAACAUCUGCACUGCAGCGCGAACUGGUUUCCUUGAGUACGCACAAAGUGGGCGGAAUUCGUGGUGUAGCGGUGAAAUGCUUAGAUAUCACGAAGAACUCCGAUUGCGAAGGCAGCUCACUGGAGCGCAACUGACGCUGAAGCUCGAAAGUGCGGGUAUCGAACAGGAUUAGAUACCCUGGUAGUCCGCACGGUAAACGAUGGAUGCCCGCUGUUGGUCUGAAUAGGUCAGCGGCCAAGCGAAAGCAUUAAGCAUCCCACCUGGGGAGUACGCCGGCAACGGUGAAACUCAAAGGAAUUGACGGGGGCCCGCACAAGCGGAGGAACAUGUGGUUUAAUUCGAUGAUACGCGAGGAACCUUACC
rnacentral:rRNA from 1 species